rnacentral:rRNA from 1 species
CCUACGGGGGGCUGCAGUAGGGAAUAUUGCUCAAUGGGGGAAACCCUGAAGCAGCAACGCCGCGUGGAGGAUGAAGGUUUUCGGAUUGUAAACUCCUUUUGUUAGAGAAGAUAAUGACGGUAUCUGACGAAUAAGCACCGGCUAACUCCGUGCCAGCAGCCGCGGUAAUACGGAGGGUGCAAGCGUUACUCGGAAUAACUGGGCGUAAAGGGCGCGUAGGCGGGAUAGCAAGUCAGAUGUGAAAUCCUUUGGCUUAACCACAGAACUGCAUUUGAAACUGUUAGUCUCGAGUAUGGGAGGGGUAGGUGGAAUUCUUGGUGUAGCGGUAAAAUCCGUAGAGAGUAAGAGGAAUACUCAUUGCGAAGGCGACCUGCUAGAACAUAACUGACGCUGAUGCGCGAAAGCGUGGGGAGCAAACAGGAUUAGAUACCCGUGUAGUC